UACGUACGAGGCGAGCGUUAUCCGGAAUUACUGGGCGUAAAGCGCGCGCAGGUGGCUUGCUAAGUCGGACGUGAAAUCUCCCGGCCUAACUGGGAGGGGUCGUCCGAGACUGGCCGGCUUGAGGCUGGCAGAGGUAGGUGGAAUUCCUGGUGUAGUGGUGAAAUGCGUAGAGAUCAGGAGGAACACCGGUGGCGAAGGCGGCCUACUGGGCCAGCACUGACGCUGAGGCGCGGAAGCUCGGGGAGCGAACGGG
rnacentral:rRNA from 1 species